UACGAAGGGUGCAAGCGUUACUCGGAAUUACUGGGCGUAAAGCGUGCGUAGGUGGUUUGUUAAGUCUGAUGUGAAAGCCCUGGGCUCAACCUGGGAAUUGCAUUGGAUACUGGCAGGCUAGAGUGCGGUAGAGGAUGGCGGAAUUCCCGGUGUAGCAGUGAAAUGCGUAGAGAUCGGGAGGAACAUCUGUGGCGAAGGCGGCCAUCUGGACCGGCACUGACACUGAGGCACGAAAGCGUGGGGAUCAAACAGG
rnacentral:rRNA from 1 species